UACACGCUGUGACUAGCAUAUCAAUAAGCGGAGGAAAAGUCAAUACCUACGCUUAGGAUGUUGACAGCAGUAUAGACUGUACACGCUGUGACUAGCAUAUCAAUAAGCGGAGGAAAAGAGGGCUAUUACCUACGCUUAGGAUGUUGACGAGACUGUCGAUCUCAUCUAUACAUGACUCUGUGCAUAUCAAUAAGCGGAGGAAAAGAAACUAACAAGGAUUCCCCUAGUAACGGCGAGUGAAGCGGGAAGAGCUCAAAUUUGAAAUCUUAAAGGGUUUCCCUUUACGAAUUGUAGUUUAAAGAAGUGUUUUCUGUUGAGGUUUUGGUAAAAGUUCUUUGGAAUAGGACAUCAUAGAGGGUGAGAAUCCCGUAUUUGACCUUUACUUUCAACUUUGUGAUACACUUUCAAAGAGUCGGAUUGUUUGGGAAUGCAGUCCAAAAUGGGUGGUAAAUUUCAUCUAAAGCUAAAUAUUGGCGAGAGACCGAUAGCGAACAAGUACCGUGAGGGAAAGAUGAAAAGAACUUUGAAAAGAGAGUUAAACAGUACGUGAAAUUGUCAAAAGGGAAGCGUUUGACACCAGUGUUGUUUUUCUGAAAAUCAAUUAAAGAACUGUUUAUGCUAAGUUGUUUAGACUUUAUCAGCUAACUGUUUAGUUUUGAGCUUUUCUUUAAUGCGCUUUUCAGUUAACAAGUCAACAUCAAUUUCUUUUGCUGUAAAAAAGCUUGAGGAAGGUGGCUUGAGAUUCGUCUUAAGUGUUUAUAGCCUCUAGCCUAUGCAGUCGGAGAGAUUGAGGUCUGCAGCGUAGGAUCCUUCGGGGCUAAAUGCAUUUGUGCUAAGUUAUAGCAUUUUAUAGACAACUUGUUGACUAUGAUUUGUCUUGUAGCUUACUCGCUUAUGUUAUUUUACCUACGCUUAGGAUGUUGACAGCAGUAUAGACUGU
rnacentral:rRNA from 1 species